rnacentral:pre_miRNA from 14 species
UGGUUGGAUCGAUCAGCAAAUACACAUUAGAUAAUGUCUUUGCGACCGAAUCCAGGCCACGA